CUCUGACAAGGGCAAACCGUCGGUGACGGCGGGGCGCAAAGCCAAGGGGUCUCGGGCGGGAGCAGCCGAGACAGCCCAGCUGCCGGA
rnacentral:ncRNA from 1 species